CUUGGUCAUUUAGAGGAAGUAAAAGUCGUAACAAGGUCUCCGUUGGUGAACCAGCGGAGGGAUCAUUACCGAGUUUACAACUCCCAAACCCCUGUGAACAUACCAAUUGUUGCCUCGGCGGAUCAGCCCGCUCCCGGUAAAACGGAACGGCCCGCCAGAGGACCCCUAAACUCUGUUUCUAUAUGUAACUUCUGAGUAAAACCAUAAAUAAAUCAAAACUUUCAACAACGGAUCUCUUGGUUCUGGCAUCGAUGAAGAACGCAGCAAAAUGCGGUAAGUAAUGUGAAUUGCAGAAUUCAGUGAAUCAUCGAAUCUUUGAACGCACAUUGCGCCCGCCAGUAUUCUGGCGGGCAUGCCUGUUCGAGCGUCAUUUCAACCCUCAAGCCCCCGGGUUUGGUGUUGGGGAUCGGCGAGCCUCACGGCAAGCCGGCCCCGAAAUACAGUGGCGGUCUCGCUGCAGCUUCCAUUGCGUAGUAGUAAAACCCUCGCAACUGGUACGCGGCGCGGCCAAGCCGUUAAACCCCCAACUUCUGAAUGUUGACCUCGGAUCAGGUAGGAAUACCCGCUGAACUUAAGCAUAUCAAUAAGCGGAGGA
rnacentral:rRNA from 1 species